GAGGACACCACCAUGGAACAGUGACCAUUGCAGUGACCACCACAGUGACCACCACAGUGACCACCACAGUGACCACCACAGUGACCACAGUGACCACCCUGGGGACAGUUCCUGACCGCAGUGACCAUCAUGAGCCCAUGGCCACAGUGCAGUGACACUGUCCUGUCUGUCCCUCUGUCCGACUGACGCUCCGUCCGACUGUCCCUGCGGUUUUGGGGUCCCCCAGCUCCAUCCCAAUAAACCUGGUGGUGUCACCCCUGUUC
rnacentral:lncRNA from 1 species